GUGAGGAAUAUUGGGCAAUGGGCGCAAGCCUGACCCAGCAACGCCGCGUGGAGGAUGAAGGCCCUUGGGUCGUAAACUCCUUUUCUGGGGGAAGAGCAAGGACGGUACCUCAGGAAUAAGUCACGGCUAACUACGUGCCAGCAGCCGCGGUAAUACGUAGGUGGCGAGCGUUAUCCGGAAUUACUGGGCGUAAAGCGCACGCAGGUGGUCGAUCAAGUCUGGCGUGAAAGCUCCUGGCUUAACUGGGAGAGGUCGUUGGAAACUGAUCGACUUGAGGCAAUGAGAGGGGUGCGGAAUUCCCGGUGUAGUGGUGGAAUGCGUAGAUAUCGGGGGGAACACCAGUGGCGAAAGCGGCACCCUGGCAUUGUCCUGACACUCAUGUGCGAAGGCGUGGGGAGCGAACGGGAUUAGAAACCCUAGUAGUCC
rnacentral:rRNA from 1 species